CUAAGAAUAUUCCGCAAUGGACGGAAGUCUGACGGAGCGACGCCGCGUGGAUGAAGAAGGCCGAAAGGUUGUAAAGUUCUUUUGCUGGGGAAGAAUAACCGCAGGAGGGAAUGCCUGUGGGAUGACAAGAACCGGCGAAUAAGCCCCGGCCAACUACGUGCCAGCAGCCGCGGUAACACGUAGGGGGCGAGCGUUGUUCGGAAUUACUGGGCGUAAAGGGCAUGUAGGCGGCUUGGAAAGCCUGGCGUGAAAGUCUGCAGCUUAACUGCAGGGGUGCGCUGGGAACUGCUGAGCUUGAGUGACGGAGAGGGAGCUGGAAUUCCUGGUGUAGGGGUGAAAUCUGUAGAUAUCAGGAAGAACACCGAUGGCGAAGGCAAGCUCCUGGCCGAUGACUGACGCUGAGGUGCGAAAGUGUGGGGAUCAAACAGGAUUAGAUACCCUGGUAGUCCACACAGUCAACGAUGUGCACUAGGUGCUGGGGCGGUAGCUUCGGUGCCGGAGCGAACGUGGUAAGUGCACCGCCUGGGGAGUAUGCUCGCAAGGGUGAAACUU
rnacentral:rRNA from 1 species